rnacentral:rRNA from 1 species
GUAUAUGUAAUCCUGAGUGCUCCGGAACUCAUCUGAUGUCAGAAGCUAAGAAAGAUUGAGCCUGAUGAGCACUUGCAUAGGAAUCCAUGAAAGAUUUCAAUAAAAUUCCCUUGUGGGUGGCAUCAGGCUGCU